CCUACGGGUGGCUGCAGUGGGGAAUAUUGGACAAUGGGCGAAAGCCUGAUCCAGCCAUGCCGCGUGUGUGAAGAAGGCCUUCGGGUUGUAAAGCACUUUCAGUGGGGAAGAAAGCCUUGGGGCUAAUACCCUCGAGGAAGGACAUCACCCACAGAAGAAGCACCGGCUAACUCCGUGCCAGCAGCCGCGGUAAUACGGAGGGUGCGAGCGUUAAUCGGAAUUACUGGGCGUAAAGCGCGCGUAGGCGGUCUGAUAAGCCGGUUGUGAAAGCCCCGGGCUCAACCUGGGAACGGGAUCCGGAACUGUCAGGCUAGAGUGCAGGAGAGGAAGGUAGAAUUCCCGGUGUAGCGGUGAAAUGCGUAGAGAUCGGGAGGAAUACCAGUGGCGAAGGCGGCCUUCUGGACUGACACUGACGCUGAGGUGCGAAAGCGUGGGUAGCAAACAGGAUUAGAUACCCGGGUAGUC
rnacentral:rRNA from 1 species